rnacentral:rRNA from 1 species
AUACGGAGGAUCCGAGCGUUAUCCGGAUUUAUUGGGUUUAAAGGGUGCGCAGGCGGGAGAUUAAGUCGGCGGUGAAAUUUUUCAGCUCAAAUGUAAAAGGGCCUUCGAAACUGGUUUCCUUUAGUGUAGAUGAAGUAGGCGGAAUUUGUGGUGUAGCGGUGGAAUGCAUAGAUAUCACGAGGAACUCCGAUUGCGCAGGCAGCUUACUAAACUACUACUGACGCUCAGGCACGAAGGCGUGGGGAUCAAACAGGAUUAGAUACCCUGGUAGUCCACGCAGUAAACGAUGAUUACUAGCUGUUUGCGAUACAAUGUAAGCGGCUGAGCGAAAGCGUUAAGUAAUCCACCUGGGGAGUACGGUCGCAAGAAUGAAACUCAAAUGAAUUGACGGGG